UACAGAGGGGGCAAGCGUUAUUCGGAAUUAUUGGGCGUAAAGGGCGCGUAGGCGGCAUGGCAAGUGGAUGGUGAAAUCCCUCGGCUUAACCGAGGAACUGCCGUCCAAACUGCUUCGCUUGAGACCGGGAGAGGUGAGUGGAAUUCCCAGUGUAGCGGUGAAAUGCGUAGAUAUUGGGAGGAACACCAAUGGCGAAAACGACUCACUGAACCAAUACUGACGCUGAAACGCGAAAGCAUAAGGAGCAAACGGG
rnacentral:rRNA from 1 species